AGAAUCAACGCUGGCGGCGUGCCUAACACAUGCAAGUCGAACGAGAAAGUGGAGCAAUCCAUGAGUAAAGUGGCGCACGGGUGAGUAACACGUGACUAACCUACCCUUGAGUGGGGAAUAAACUUCGGGAAACCGAGGCUAAUACCGCAUAACACCUACGGGUCAAAGGAGCAAUUCGCUUAAGGAGGGGGUCGCGGCAGAUUAGUUAGUUGGCGGGGUAAUGGCCCACCAAGACAGUGAUCUGUA
rnacentral:rRNA from 1 species